rnacentral:lncRNA from 1 species
ACACAGAACACAGAGGACAAUACCAGACAAAGAACAAGUAACAAAACACAGAGGACAAUACCAGACAAAGAAUGAGUAACAAAACACAGAACACAGAGACAAUACCAGACAAAGAACAAGUAACAAAACAAAGAGGACAAUACCAGACAAAGAACAAGUAACAAAACACAGAGAACAAUACCAGACAAAGAACAAGUAACAAAACACAGAAUACAGAGGACAAUACCAGACAAAGAACAAGUAAAAAAACAAAGAACACAGAGGACAAUACCAGACAAAGAACAAGUAACAGAACACAAAACACAGGACAAUACCAGACAAA